rnacentral:rRNA from 1 species
UUCUGCCUACGGGAGGCAGCAGUGGGGAAUAUUGCACAAUGGGGGAAACCCUGAUGCAGCGACGCCGCGUGAGUGAAGAAGUAUCUCGGUACGUAAAGCUCUAUCAGCAGGGAAGAAAAAAAGCCUCUAGCUUUGGACGGUACCUGACUAAGAAGCCCCGGCUAACUACGUGCCAGCAGCCGCGGUAAUACGUAGGGGGCAAGCGUUAUCCGGAUUUACUGGGUGUAAAGGGAGCGUAGACGGCAGCGCAAGUCUGGAGUGAAAGGCGGGGGCUCAACCCCCGGACUGCUCUGGAAACUGCCAGG